UUCGGGGUGUGACUGCGUACCUUUUGUAUAAUGGGUCAGCGACUUAUAUUCUGUAGCAAGGUUAACCGUAUAGGGGAGCCGGAGGGAAACCGAGUCUUAAUUGGGCGUUAAGUUGCAGGGUAUAGACCCGAAACCCGGUGAUCUAGCCAUGGGCAGGUUGAAGGUUGGGUAACACUAACUGGAGGACCGAACCGACUAAUGUUGAAAAAUUAGCGGAUGACCUGUGGCUGGGGGUGAAAGGCCAAUCAAACCGGGAGAUAGCUGGUUCUCCCCGAAAGCUAUUUAGGUAGCGCCUCGUGAAUUCAUCUCCGGGGGUAGAGCACUGUUUCGGCUAGGGGGCCAUCCCGGCUUACCAACCCGAUGCAAACUGCGAAUACCGGAGAAUGUUAUCACGGGAGACACACGGCGGGUGCUAACGUCCGUCGUGAAGAGGGAAACAACCCAGACCGCCAGCUAAGGUCCCAAAGUCAUGGUUAAGUGGGAAACGAUGUGGGAAGGCCCAGACAGCCAGGAUGUUGGCUUAGAAGCAGCCAUCAUUUAAAGAAAGCGUAAUAGCUCACUGGUCGAGUCGGCCUGCGCG
rnacentral:rRNA from 1 species